rnacentral:rRNA from 1 species
UGAGGAAUAUUGCGCAAUGGAGGAAACUCUGACGCAGCCAUGCCGCGUGCAGGAAUAAGGCCCUAUGGGUUGUAAACUGCUUUUAUACGGGAAGAACUAUGUCUACGUGUAGAUAUUUGACGGUACCGUACGAAUAAGGAUCGGCUAACUCCGUGCCAGCAGCCGCGGUAAUACGGAGGAUCCAAGCGUUAUCCGGAUUUAUUGGGUUUAAAGGGUCCGCAGGCGGAAAAUUAAGUCAGUGGUGAAAUCCUACAGCUUAACUGUAGAACUGCCAUUGAUACUGAUUUUCUUGAGUACACCUGAAGUGGGCGGAAUGUGUCAUGUAGCGGUGAAAUGCUUAGAUAUGACACAGAACACCGAUUGCGAAGGCAGCUCACUAAAGUGUCACUGACGCUGAGGGACGAAAGCGUGGGUAGCGAACAGG